rnacentral:rRNA from 1 species
UACAGAGGGUGCAAGCGUUGUUCGGAAUUAUUGGGCGUAAAGCGCGUGUAGGUGGCGGAGCAUGUCGGGUGUGAAAGCCCUCGGCUUAACCGAGGAAGUGCGCCCGAAACUGCUCUGCUCGAGUGCUGGAGAGGGUAGCGGAACUCCCGGUGUAGAGGUGAAAUUUGUAGAUAUCGGGAAGAACACCAGCGGCGAAGGCGGCUACCUGGACAGACACUGACACUGAGACGCGAAAGCGUGGGGAG